UGUAGUCCGAAUUUAUUAUUGUUCUUCAGAGUAGUUACGCGAGACAUGUCAUGAAAAAAGGCUGUGAGAACGAUGUUUAUAUUUACUUCUUAUUCGCAAACGUUAACGUGGUGGUAAGGUACAUUAAUUAUGUUUCUGUGCUAUGCUCUGAAUGUACAAGUUGAAGGAUAAGUUCGGUGAAUGCUGUGUAUGUUGGGAUGUUUCAGUCAGAGUUUGAAUAUAGACUGGUUUUAGUGUAAUGCUGAGCGACUACUUUUUUUUUGGAUCCGUUGACUCUACGCGAUUUUCGUGAAAUACUAGCAUGUUCAAAGCACAAAUCAACAAUGAAGAAAAAAUCAUUUGUUCAAGCCAUUACAGCUAUCCCUUUAUGUAGGAGAGUUCAACUGGUACUACUAACUCGCCUCCCACCUCCGUAUCUCAGGUGUUUUCUAAUCAAAUACAGUCAGGUCUCGUACUAGACGCUGACACCCACCACCAUUUUUCAGUUGUCGAAAUGGCGAAUGAACAUAGUCGAUUAAGAUGAAAUUCGGCAGGCAAUAAUCUCAUUGUAUGUGUCAAUCACAAGCUAAAACCAACUUCAUUCUAAUAUUUAAUGAGAUAUUGCCGUGUGAGGAAAGUGACUGGCACCGUCUUAUUGGAGACCUAACUGUAAAUCUAAUUUUUGGCACAAGUAGGUCUCAACUAGUGAUCCUUUAUAUGA